CCUAGCAAUGGUAAAAAGAAAAAUCGCUCCAAAAUCGACAUCCUAAAUAUAAGAAAGAUUUGUUUGAUGUCAAAUAAUAGCAAUUUUAGAAGAAAUUAAGUUGUGUAUGUAGCUCAUAUAGGGUGGAAGAUAGGUUUAUUGAAUCAAAUAGGUUGAUGUUGGAGCGGAGCGGAGCGAAGCGAGGGAAGCGUGGCGUACCGAAUGAAAUGGAGCAGAUUCAUCGAUUAGGGGUGCGGUAUAGGGGUAUUAUCUUAUGUCUUAACAUGUUUGAGCUAAAAAAGCCUACUUCAAGGCACAUCACCGAACCACGAAAAUAACCAGGUUCAGAUGACGAGUUCUUCGAUUGCAAAAUUCUAUGUGAUGAACUUUGACGGAUCUGGAAAUUUCGAAUAAUGGCAAAAAAGGGUGAAGGAUAUGUCAGGGACGGUGAAGGCACUAUCUGGGAAGUUUAUAACGAAUGUUUGGCAAAAAUUGGGUCAAAGUCAUCAUAUGUUAAAGUCUCUCAUGAACAAGCAGCAUAUGAAGCAGCGGCUGUGGGAGCUCAAGAUGUUGAAGGGUACAAAUCUGAACACCAAUGUAUUCAAUCAAAUUAUUAGUGUUUUGCUACAACUUGAAAUUAAGUUUGAUGAUGAAGACCAAUGAUAUUGUUGUGCUCUUCUUCUUCGUAGGACCACCUGGUGACUACGUUGACGUAGGGUAAAGAGACUCUCGAAUUGGAGGAAGUUCACAGGGUGAAGGGUUGAUCGUGAAUAUUGUGGGAGAAGGAAGUACAAAGGUUGUUCUUACAAAGGGUGUUAGAGAUCAAAAUUUAGGAAUUAAAAUAAGAAAAAAAGCCAAGUACUACAAAUGCCUCCAGAUGGGGCCACUUUAAGAAAGACUGUUAGCAGUGUGAUGAAAUGAAAAGCGAUAGGUCCUCAAACUCAGCUACUAUUGCAAAAGGAGACUCGAAUUCUAGAGAUAAAGACAUUUAUCACUCUGCAGAUAAUUCUUAUAGUACAUAACUGUUGGAUUCUUGAUUCAGCCAGUUCAUAUCACAUGUAUCCUCAUCGGAAUUGACUCGAUUCAUAUCUAAUGGGUAAAGAUGCAUCAUGUAAAGUAGUUGAAAUGAGGAUGUUAGGCAAGUAAUAGAGUUAAGAAAGAACCUAAUUUCUUUCUAUAGCAUAUUGGAUUGGGGCAUAUAGGAAAACAUUUGAGCUUCACAAGAGUAAUUUCUUGAAGAGGGUAAAAUGGGGGUAAUUUGUUCUAAUGGGUAAGAUGCAUCAUGUAUGAUCAUUGAAAUGAGGAUGUUAGGCAUGUAACAGAGUACAGUUGGAGAUGUGAAAGCACAAGACGGUGGGCAUUCUUGAUUACGUGCUCUCUGAUAUUAAAUUACUUUCAUCGAUGACUUCUCUAGAGUAAAUUGAGUUACUACAUAAUAAUGAUACUUAAAAUUAGGUGGAGCUUCCAGAGGAGAGAGAAACCAAUAAAGUGCACGUAAAGUGUAUGCAAGUGGGUGUACCGAAAAAAAGAAGCAAUGUGAAGACUGCUUUCCUUAAUGAUGUGAAGACAGCUUUCCUUCGUGAUGAUUUGGAGGAACAGAUAGCAGCCAGAGGGUUCUUGAAACCCAGAACAGAGAAUCUUGUGUGUAGACUAAAGAGUUCGAGGUUGGUUCAUAUAUUUUCUUGAUGUUGUAUGUGAAUGACAUGCUAAUUUCUGCCAAGAACAUGAAUGAGGUAGACAGAUUGAAAUCUUUGUUGGAUAGUAAGUUUGAUAUGAAAGAUUCUUGGCAUAGAGAUCAAGUUUCGAGCCCUAUAAAAUAAAAUGAAAAUUCGAAAGGAGUAGAUUAUUUUAGUUUAGGGAUAGGUAGAUGCAGAUUAUGCAGGCGACCUGAAUAAUAGAAUGUCCCAUAUAGGUUAUAUUUUCACACUUGCAAGUGCGAAGCCAAUCAAAAUGGAAAUGCUUGAACUUGAUUAACUUCGCCAAGGUGAAGAGAUUGUUGUGGAACGCAAAUUUACUGGAUCAAAUGGGCUGACGCCGAAGUGGAGCAACAGAGAGUAUAGUGCGCUAAAUAGUUUGGACCUUAAAGUCUUAUAGGGAUUCGGGUUAGGAUUAAUAUAAAUAAUAAUGUUGUUAUCUUUGCUUCCCUCUUGUGGAUAUAGGCACAUCACCGAAUCACGUACUACAUAAAUAUUUUUUGUUAAUUUCUCUCUUUCAUCUCUUUAUUAUUGCGCAUAAAAUUCAACAUUAUUGAAAAAUAAUAACAUUAGUAGUAUAAAAUAAUAACAUUAGUAGUAUAUUACUUAUCUCCUUUCUACCAAGUAUUACAGAACUAAUUUCCAUAGCUCUUUAGAAUUUUCUGAAAGUGUUUUGCGAUUACUUCUUGGAGCAACUGCUUGUAUGAAUUGGAACAUCUUAUUUGGAUUGUAACCAAAUCUCAUGAUAAUUAAUAUAUAUGCAUUAUAACACAUCCCGCCUUUAUGAACUAGUAAAUAACAUUAUUAGUAAAUUAUGAAAGCAACUGAUGACUUUCAGAGAUUUAUGUUUUACCAGACUGAUUUUGCAACUGUCCAACCGUCUCCAUAACUCUUCAGAAUUUUCUGAAAGUGUUCUGCGAUUACUUCUUGGGGCAACCAUUUAUGAAUUGGAACAUUGAAAUUAUUAUUUUUUAUUUUUUGCUGAAAAAGAAAGUAGAGUACCACUUCGCAAGUAGCAUUAUAACAAAUCCAGCCAAAUGUAUACCAAAUUGAUGCUACCAAAUUGAUGCUAAGAGAUAAAAUAGAAGAUAGGGAACACAAAAUGUAUUACGGAGCAUUGUCAACCAAUAGCAUUGGAGCACACAGGAAUACCACCUUAUAUGUGAGGAAAUUAAACCAAAGACUGAAGAAGUCAAUAUCGACUUCGUUUAAACUUAAUUUCUAUGGAAAGGGUAAUGUUGAGCCCAAAUCUAGACCUCGUCAAAGAAUAUUUCAUCUUAUUGAGGCCAAAGCGAAUCUCAACUUAGUUCAAGCAUAUUCUUGCUAAGGCCGAGUUGUACCCUCUCACUACUCUGGAUCACAUUCAAGUACAAACCUAAAACCGAGAGUCAUCAAGGUUCGAGCAACACUUAUCCCAAGUGAGUGUCAAUGACUCUCGACCUUGUUUGUGCAUAUUUCUUCCUAAGGCUGAAUGGAGCACAAGCAAAUCUUGAAUGCCAUUUAAGUAUAAUCCUUCCCAAGGACCGAAAACCAAGCUCAAGGAGUCUUGACCUUUUUUGAGCCCACGCAAGUUUCAAUCUCAUUGAAGCUUCCUCAAGGGCCAAACCUUAGUAUUUUAGGAAUCCCAGCCAAAUUUAAGUACGAUGCAUGCUUACCCAUUUAUUUGAUCAUAUUAUUAACCAAUGAGAGUUAGAAAAUGCUUUGAUUAUGAAAGAAAUUACCAAGUUAGAGAAAACUGAAAUAAAAACAAAUUAAAAUGUAUAAGAGACAAACCUUGACAUAGGUGCAAAGAGAAGUUGCUUCAAGUUUGACGACAUUUUUGGUGUUGCUACUUUCUAUAGAACUCUAAUCGAGCUCUUGAACGCGUAAGGUCCCAAAAAAAUUGAAGCAUGAAAUGACAUAUUUGGCUUCAAGUAAGUGUACUCGUCUAGCAACAAGAUUCACAUAGAUAUGAAAAGAUUAGAGAUUACAUACCUAAGCAUUCCAAUGUGUUACAAUUCCCAUCGCGCACAAGGAAUUCUUUAUGAGCACCAAAAGCAUAUAAACGCAUAUAUUCCCUAGAAGGUUAGUAUCGACACAUAUAUAAGUAUCAAAACAGAAAUUUUAAAUCUUG
rnacentral:lncRNA from 1 species